CCUCACUGCUGCCGGCCUGCUGGUGUCCCCGGUCUGUGGGGGACCAAGAGCUGUGGGAACCUCCCUGCUCCUCAGUGCGGCCUGGAGAGUCUGUUCAACUGCUCUCACCAGCUCACAGGAGCUGCGCUUCUCACGCCUGAUCUCAGUUAUGGCUGGAAACCUGGGAGCUAGGCAGGCUGGGCACUGCGCUCCACAUCUGGAAACUGCUGGCCAAAGCUCCCAACGUGGAAGAUGCAAGACCCAGCCAGGCUUCCUGACCCAGUCCAGGUCUGUCUUCUGCCUGCACACACUCCCAGCCCUGUGACUUCGGAAACACCGGAAUAGAGGAGAUAAUGCCGAAUCCCGCUUUCCAUACUACAUAACCAUGUUAUUUCCUUGGGACAUAUGACCCAAAAUGAAAUGCUUGAGAAUUAAAAGCGGUGAACUACGUCACAGGUCUCAGCACCUGGGUGGCUCAGUGAGUUAAGCGUCUGCCUUCAGCUCAGG